CGAAACUUGCCCCGAGAUGAGUUCUCCCUGAGACUUUAGGUCUCCUGAAGGAACGUUGAAGACGACGACGUUGAUAGGCCGGGUGUGUAAGCGCAGCGAUGCGUUGAGCUAACCGGUACUAAUGAACCGUGAGGCUUAACCUUACAACGCCGAAG
rnacentral:rRNA from 3 species